rnacentral:rRNA from 1 species
GACGAACGCUGGCGGCGUGCCUAAUACAUGCAAGUAGAACGCUGAAGGAGGAGCUUGCUUCUCUGGAUGAGUUGCGAACGGGUGAGUAACGCGUAGGUAACCUGCCUGGUAGCGGGGGAUAACUAUUGGAAACGAUAGCUAAUACCGCAUAAGAGUAGAUGUUGCAUGACAUUUGCUUAAAAGGUGCAAUUGCAUCACUACCAGAUGGACCUGCGUUGUAUUAGCUAGUUGGUGAGGUAACGGCUCACCAAGGCGACGAUACAUAGCCGACCUGAGAGGGUGAUCGGCCACACGGGGACGGAGACACGGCCCAGACUACUACGGGAGGCAGCAGUAGGGAAUCUUCGGCAAUGGACGGGAGUAUGACAGAGCAACGCGGCGUGAGUGAAGAAGGUUUUCGGAUCGUAAAGCUCUGUUGUAAGAGAAGAACGAGUGUGAGAGUGGAAAGUUCACACUGUGACGGUAUCUUACCAGAAAGGGACGGCUAACUACGUG